rnacentral:rRNA from 1 species
GAUGAACGCUGGCGGCGUGCCUAAUACAUGCAAGUCGAGCGAAGCGGGGACGGGUGAGUAACACGUGGAUAACCUCCCAUAAGACAGGGAUAACUUCGGGAAACCGGAGCUAAACCGGAUACUUAUAGCUGGAUCCGCGCUGCAUUGGCUAGUUGGUAAGGUAACGGCUUACCAAGGCAACGAUGCAUAGCCGACCUGAGAGGGUGAUCGGCCCCAUUGGAACGGGUACACGGUCCGAACUCCUGCGGGAGGAAGCGGUAGGGAAUUUUCCGCAAUGGGCGAAGGCCUGACGAGGCAACGCCUGUUGAGGGAUGAGGGUCUUGGGAUCGUAAACCUCUGUUAUUUGGGAAGCGGUACCUAAUCAGAAAGCCACGGCUAACUACGUGCCAGCAGCCGCGGUAAUUC